AUGUGUCUUUGUGCUGCUGGUGGAUCCUUUCUCGCUGCUACCGUCUCUCGUUUCUAUCUCUUUGCCCAUCUAAUCUUUCCUUCACUCUCUUUCUUUUUUUCCCCUCUCAGGCACACACACACACACACACACACACACUCGAUUUCUUUUUGUCUCCCCAGGUGUGCACUGGUCCAGGUGUAUGUCUUCGCGGGAGCUCAUCACUGCUCUAAUGAGAAUGAUCACCGCUCAUCUGUCUUCAUCCACAUCCAACAGAGAGCACCUGCUACUAUCUGUACCCAAGGGCAGCGCAUGGUCUCGCCGGCUGAGCUAAUACCGAGAAAAAGGAGAGAAUUCCAGGAGGAAAAAGUUCUGGGAGUUGCUGGCACCUCAUCAAGCCACACACACUCCUCGUUCUCUGUGAAAGAGGAUUUCAGUCGUCACAACAUCAUGUCCUUCACCCUGAGUCGCCUACAACCUUGA
rnacentral:lncRNA from 1 species